AGUCGAGCGACAGAUAAGGAGCUUGCUCCUUUGACGUUAGCGGCGGACGGGUGAGUAACACGUGGGUAACCUACCUAUAAGACUGGGAUAACUUCGGGAAACCGGAGCUAAUACCGGAUAACAUUUGGAACCGCAUGGUUCUAAAGUGAAAGAUGGUUUUGCUAUCACUUAUAGAUGGACCCGCGCCGUAUUAGCUAGUUGGUAAGGUAACGGCUUACCAAGGCGACGAUACGUAGCCGACCUGAGAGGGUGAUCGGCCACACUGGAACUGAGACACGGUCCAGACUCCUACGGGAGGCAGCAGUAGGGAAUCUUCCGCAAUGGGCGAAAGCCUGACGGAGCAACGCCGCGUGAGUGAUGAAGGGUUUCGGCUCGUAAAACUCUGUUAUUAGGGAAGAACAAACGUGUAAGUAACUGUGCACGUCUUGACGGUACCUAAUCAGAAAGCCACGGCUAACUACGUGCCAGCAGCCGCGGUAAUACGUAGGUGGCAAGCGUUAUCCGGAAUUAUUGGGCGUAAAGCGCCGUAGCCGGUUCUAAGUCUGAUGGGAAACCCCACGCUCAACCGUGGAGGGUCAUUGGAAACUGGAAACUUGAGUGCAGAAGAGGAAAGUGGAAUUCCAUGUGUAGCGGUGAAAUGCGCAGAGAUAUGGAGGAACACCAGUGGCGAAAGCGACUUUCUGGUCUGUAACUGACGCUGAUGUGCGAAAGCGUGGGGAUCAAACAGGAUUAGAUACCCUGGUAGUCCACGCCGUAACGAUGAGUGCUAAGUGUUAGGGGUUUCCGCCCCUUAGUGCUGCAGCUAACGCAUUAAGCACUCCGCCUGGGGAGUACGACCGCAGUUGAACUCAAAGGAUGGACGGGACCCGCACAAGCGGUGGAGCAUGUGGUUUAAUUCGAAGCAACGCGAAGAACCUUACCAAAUCUUGACAUCCUUUGAAAACUCUAGAGAUAGAGCCUUCCCCUUCGGGGGACAAAGUGACAGGUGGUGCAUGGUUGUCGUCAGCUCGUGUCGUGAGAUGUUGGGUUAAGUCCCGCAACGAGCGCAACCCUUAAGCUUAGUUGCCAUCAUUAAGUUGGGCACUCUAGGUUGACUGCCGGUGACAAACCGGAGGAAGGUGGGGAUGACGUCAAAUCAUCAUGCCCCUUAUGAUUUGGGCUACACACGUGCUACAAUGGACAAUACAAAGGGCAGCUAAACCGCGAGGUCAUGCAAAUCCCAUAAAGUUGUUCUCAGUUCGGAUUGUAGUCUGCAACUCGACUACAUGAAGCUGGAAUCGCUAGUAAUCGUAGAUCAGCAUGCUACGGUGAAUACGUUCCCGGGUCUUGUACACACCGCCCGUCACACCACGAGAGUUUGUAACACCCGAAGCCGGUUGGAGUAACCAUUUAUGAG
rnacentral:rRNA from 1 species